GGAUCUCUAUCCUUCUUACCCAAUUUCCAAAGUUUUUUUUUUCCCGGCUUAGUUUUAGAUAUAAAUCUACCUA
rnacentral:tRNA from 1 species